UACGUAGGGCGCAAGCGUUGUCCGGAAUUAUUGGGCGUAAAGAGCUCGUAGGCGGCCUGUUGCGUCCGCUGUGAAAUCCCGGGGCUCAACCCCGGGCCUGCAGUGGAUACGGGCUGGCUAGAGGCAGGCAGGGGAGGACGGAAUUCCUGGUGGUAGCGGUGAAAUGCGCAGAUAUCAGGAGGAACACCGGUGGCGAAGGCGGUUCUCUGGGCCUGUACUGACGCUGAGGAGCGAAAGCGUGGGGAGCGAACAGG
rnacentral:rRNA from 1 species